CUGUUUUCUAAUUUCCAGAGAAGUUUUUGUCAAAUAGUGAGUUCUUAUCCCCAAAGCUAUGGUCUUUAGGUUUGUCAAACACUAGAUUGCCAAGGUCAUUACUACUAAUCUAUUCCAAUGAUCCAUCCUUCUAUCUCUCAGCCAGUAUUUCAUAUUGUGUUGAUGAUCACUGCUUUAUAAUAUAGUUUCCUUCAUUUUUUAAAAUUAAUUUCCUUGAUAUUCUUGAUCUUUUGGUCUUCCAGAAUUAAUUUUGUCAUUACUUUUUUCUAUUUCUAUAAAAUAGUUUUUGGUAGUUUAAUUGGCAUGGCACUGAAUUAAAUGAAUCAAUUUAGGUAGGAUUGUCAUUUUUUAUUAUAUUAGUUUAGCCUAUCCACAAGCAAUUAAUGUUUUUUUUUUCCAAUUGUUUAGAUCUGACUUCAGUGGUAUGAAAAUGGCUUUGUAAUUGUGUUCAUACAAUUCCUGCAUUUGUCUUGGCAAAUAAUUUCCCAGCCUUUUUUAUCUAUAAUCUGGGAAUUCUGAAAGCUGCUUAUUCUGGCUCCUCUGCUGCUGGCUUGCAGGACCUGGCACUGAGAUAUUUUGCCCUGGCCUGGGUCUUCAUUAUAGCACAUGCUUUAAAGGGUCCAGGGCUAUGGACUUCUGGGCCUCACUUCAGAUACUCAGAAACUUCAUCACUCAGAAGAAGACAUGUCCCAAAUAAAAGAACUUUCAAGGAUCACCUCUUUACUUAUAAAUUAUAAGGAUGAUAUUAGAAAAUGAGUAUUGUUUUAUUAGUUUAGAGAUAAGAAGUAGAGAAGCUAGCUUGAAGGAAUUGGAGUUUCAAACAGAGCUGAGACAGAGUGUCAGUUUUUAGUCUAAUGUUUUGUUUUGUUUUUUUCUGGGUGGCAGUUGGUCUCUGGCAGUUAGCAGAGUCGCACACACAAACUCUGACUCUGGGGGCUUGGAGGAGUUAACAUCUUCACCUCUCUCUCUCUCUCUCUCUCUCUCUCUCUCUCUCUCUCUCUCUCUCUCUCUCUCUCUCUCUUUCUCUCUCUCUCUCAAUCUCUCUCUCUCUGUCUCUCAGUGUCUGAGGUAAAGACCUGAAGGAGGUAAGAGAUAAGUACUUUCUUUUUCCAACCUGGGAAACACUAUUGACUAUCUAUUACUGUCUUUAUAGAUUGUUUAAUGCUGUGAAGACCAAAGACAGACCUGGUCCUAACUUGAUUCUUGUUGAGACUCAAUCAGCUAGCCUUUGAUAUUUUUAUAACUUGGAGGCAAAUUAAAAAUUAUAAGGAUAAGAAUGUUAGUUUAUUGUAGAAUAGAGAAAAUUUGGGUUAGUCAGAUUAGGAAGGAUUAAUAUAGCCUGUGGACACAGGAGAAGAGGUUUCUUGCAGGACUAGGGAGUUUUAUUUGGGUGGAGUUAAAAAUACAGUUAAAAUCAUUUUUUAUUCCUAUAUAUUUCAAUAAAUAUUUUAUUUUUUUAUAACCA
rnacentral:lncRNA from 1 species